rnacentral:rRNA from 1 species
CGCGUAGGCGGCCUGAUAAGUAGGGGGUGAAAUCCUGUGGCUUAACUGCAGGGCUGCCUCCUAGACUGUCAGGCUCGAGCACGGUAGAGGCAGAUGGAAUUCCCGGUGUAGCGGUGGAAUGCGUAGAGAUCGGGAAGAACAUCGGUGGCGAAGGCGGUCUGCUGGGCCGUUGCUGACGCUGAGGCGCGACAGCGUGGGGAGCAAACA